GACAGAGGUGGCGACCGUUGUUCGGAAUCACUGGGCAUAAAGCGCGUGUAGGCGGCGAAGAAAGUCGGGUGUGAAAUCCCUCGGCCUAACCGAGGAAUUGCGCCCGAAACUUCUUUGCUUGAGGACAGGAGGGGAGCCUGGAAUUCCUGGUGGAGCGGUGAAAUGCGUUGAUAUCAGGAGGAACACCGGCGGCGAAGGCGAGGCUCUGGCCUGUUUCUGACGCUGAGACGCGAAAGCUAGGGGAGCAAACGGG
rnacentral:rRNA from 1 species